rnacentral:rRNA from 1 species
UACAGAGGGUGCGAGCGUUAAUCGGAAUUACUGGGCGUAAAGCGCGCGUAGGCGGCUUUGCAAGUCGGGUGUGAAAUCCCCAGGCUUAACCUGGGAACUGCAUUCGAGACUGCAUUGCUAGAGUAUGGGAGAGGGCAGUGGAAUUUCCGGCGUAGCGGUGAAAUGCGUAGAUAUCGGAAGGAACAUCAGUGGCGAAAGCGACUGCCUGGACCAAUACUGACGCUCAUGUGCGAAAGCGUGGGGAGCAAACAGG